GUGUCAGCCGCCGCGGUAAUACGAGGGGGGCAAGCGUUGUCCGGAAUCACUGGGCGUAAAGGGUGCGUAGGCGGGCACGUCAGUCAGGGGUGAAAUCCCACGGCCCAACCGUGGAAGUGCCUCUGAUACUGCGUGCCUAGAGGGGGACAGGGGCAUUCGGAACUUCCGGUGGAGCGGUGAAAUGCGUUGAUAUCGGAAGGAACGCCGGUGGCGAAAGCGACGUGCUGGACCUCUUCUGACGCUGAGGCGCGAAAGCCAGGGGAGCGAACGGGAUUAGAUACCCCGGUAGUCC
rnacentral:rRNA from 1 species